GGAAGGGUGGCCGAGCGGCUGAAGGCGGCGGUUUGCUAAACCGUUAUACGAUUGAAAAGUCGUAUCGAGGGUUCGAAUCCCUCUCCUUCCGCCA
rnacentral:tRNA from 3 species